GGGAAAGCGGCGGACGGGUGAGUAACGCGUAGGCAACCUGCCCUUAGCAGAGGGAUAGCCAUUGGAAACGAUGAUUAAAACCUCAUAACGCUUUGGAGACACAUGUCUUUAAAGCCAAAGAUUUAUCGGCUAAGGAUGGGCCUGCGUCUGAUUAACUGGUUGGUGAGGUAACGGCUCACCAAGGUGACGAUCAGUAGCCGACCUGAGAGGGUGAUCGGCCACAUUGGAACUGAGACACGGUCCAAACUUCUACGGAAGGCAGCAGUAAGGAAUCCUGCACAAUGGGGGAAACCCUUGAUGCAGCAACGCCGCGUGAACGAAGAAGGCCUUCGGGUUGUAAAGUUCUGAUCUUGGGGAAGAAGGAAGUGACGGUACCCAAGGAGAAAGCCCCGGCUAACUACGUGCCAGCAGCAGC
rnacentral:rRNA from 1 species